GAAUAAUAUAAAAAAACAACAGUGUGAAGCCAUUGUUGGUGCCCAGUGUGGCAAUGCAGUGUUAAGAGGAGCCCAUGUCUAUGUUCCAGGAAUUGUGUCAGCUUCAAAAUUUAUGAAAGCAGGAGAUGCUAUUUCCAUAUAUUCUGAUAUUAAAGGAAAAUGUAAGAAAGGAGCCAAAGAAUUCAAUGGAACAAAAGUAUUUCUUGGAAAUGGGAUUUCUGAACUGAGCCGCAAAGAAAUCUUCAACGGGCUACCUGAACUGAAAGGUAUAGGUAUAAGAAUGACAGAACCAGUAUAUCUCAGCCCGUCAUUUGAUAAUGUACUGCCCAGUUACCUAUUUUUACAG